rfam:Hoeflea sp. BRH_c9 BRHa_1003556, whole genome shotgun sequence.
UGCUUAUUUUGCGAUGGCGGAGCUCGACCGCCCACUGAAGCGAUGAUUUCCUUUAUCGACGAACACCGUGUGGCGUUCGGGGUCGAGCCGAUCUGCAGAUUGUUGCCGAUUGCCCCG